rnacentral:rRNA from 1 species
UACGUAGGGGGCAAGCGUUGUCCGGAUUUAUUGGGCGUAAAGAGCGUGUAGGCGGCCAUUCAGGUCAGCUGUGAAAACUCGAGGCUCAACCUCGAGACGUCGGUUGAAACCGUUUGGCUAGAGUCCGGAAGAGGAGAGUGGAAUUCCCGGUGUAGCGGUGAAAUGCGCAGAUAUCGGGAAGAACACCCGUGGCGAAGGCGGCGACCUGGGUAGAUACUGACGCUGAGGCGCGAAAGCGUGGGGAGCAAACAGG